UACGUAGGGUGCAGGCGUUAAUCGGAAUUACUGGGCGUAAAGCGUGCGCAGGCGGUUUCUUAAGUCAGAUGUGAAAGCCCCGGGCUCAACCUGGGAAUUGCAUUUGAGACUGCGUAGCUAGGGUGCGGAAGAGGGAAGCGGAAUUUCCGGUGUAGCGGUGAAAUGCGUAGAUAUCGGAAGGAACACCAGUGGCGAAAGCGGCUUCCUGGUCCAGCACCGACGUUCAGGCACGAAAGCGUGGGAAGCAAACAGG
rnacentral:rRNA from 1 species